GCCCCCGUGGUGAAAUUGGUAUACACGCAUGGUUUAGGACCAUGUCUCGAAAGAGAUGGAGGUUCGAGUCCUCUCGGGGGCACCA
rnacentral:tRNA from 1 species